rnacentral:lncRNA from 1 species
UUUUUUUCUUUUUUUUCUUUUUCAGAUCAGAAGGAAUAUGUAAUGACAUCAUUCUUUUCUUUUUCAAUUUUUCUCAAUUUUUUUCUUUUGUUUUGCCAACUUUUUUUAAAUCUAAUAUCAUAACUAUAAUUAUUAAACCACACAACUCCAACAAGAUUCUUUCAAUCUUAUGAAUGAAUGAUACCAUUGUUUUUCACUUUCAGGCUUGUAAU